ACACCGUUGGUGAAGUGGUUAUCAUGCUUGCCUUCCAUAAGACUCCCCUUCAUUGGUUAGAGCAAGCGGCUCGGGUUCGAUUCCCGAACGGUGUA